CUUCUCUUGUAGAGCCAAAGAAGGAAUGUAAUGACUGAUGCCUAGUCGCAAGUUAUUUUGUUGACAAAAUCGGUGCGAAGAAUUGCUAUCCACUUCCUAGGACCGAAGCCAUUCUAGGUCAGCUUUAAGGUAUCAGGUUGCUAGUUCAUCUACAUCUGAGAGGAGUUGGAGCACAUACUCCAUCCACUCAAUGGAGCACAAUCGACUACUUUUAAAAAAGGUGGAGGACUUGGUGUGUGUGCAUUCAAACUUGUGGCUCCUUAUAUGCAAACAAAGUGGCUACAAAGAAGGGGACACAAGGAAGUGGGAUAUUGAGCCAGAGCAUAUUUACUUGGGUGCUUUUACUGCCCGCUUUGUUGCACUUGAUGUUGACGAUGACUAUGAGCCAACUAGUGAGCAUGAAGUGCCGGUGCCGGUUUCAAUGCAAGUGCUAGUGCUAGUGCCAAUGACACUAUUUGUGGUUCUUCUAAUUUACCACUAUCUACAUCAUCUAAUAUGGACAGUGAUGAUGAUAUUUUUGGCAACCCAUAUGAUAUUUAAUCAAUGAUGGCUGAUUGUUGACACAUGACAUUAUUAUCUUUUAACUUUAAUAUCUAUCGUGACAUUUGAGUUUCACUAA